UAGGGAAUAUUGGACAAUGGGUGCAAGCCUGAUCCAGCCAUGCCGCGUGCAGGAAGAAAGCCUUCUGGGUUGUAAACUGCUUUUUUCAGGGGAUAAAAUAGUCUUGCGAGACGAAUUGAAGGUACCUGGAGAAUAAGCCACGGCUAACUACGUGCCAGCAGCCGCGGUAAUACGUAGGUGGCAAGCGUUGUCCGGAUUUAUUGGGUUUAAAGGGUGCGUAGGCGGUCUGAAAAGUCAGUUGUGAAAUACGGCAGCUUAACUGUCGAGGUGCAAUUGAUACUGCCAGACUUGAGUACUGAUGAGGUAGGCGGAAUGGACGGUGUAGCGGUGAAAUGCUUAGAGAUCGUCCAGAACACCGAUAGCGAAGGCAGCUUACUAAGGAGUAACUGACGCUGAGGCACGAAAGUGUGGGGAUCAAACAGGAUUAGAUACCCCGGUAGUCC
rnacentral:rRNA from 1 species